CGCCUAAACCCUACGGGGCAUGGCCAAAAAUCCUACGCGAAUAGAAACGGCCUCGUAAUCGCCGCUGCUUAUUCGCGUAGGUCUACGCCCGAAAGGGUGUAGGGCAUGUCCGAAAGGAUAUGUC
rnacentral:sRNA from 12 species